CAGCACUAUAAUUGUACAGCUCCAACGAAACCGUAUCAUCAGACCUGACCCCCGCGUCGCCUCUCUCUGGCGACACGGGGGGAAUCCCUCCGGCGCCGCCACCACCUCACCCCUCCUCCUCCUAACCUCGUCGCCGCCUGAGGAGCUCUUCGGCGAAGCCCGGGCAGGCUCCAGGGAAGGUGGCGGCGGGGCAUCUCUCGGGGGGUCUCGCCGGAGGAUCUGGCGAGCAGGCGCUCCGCGCGGGCAUGGUUCUGGUGCUUGCAGGCGCGGAGGAGGGCGGCACAAGGGCGGGCUCGCGGCGGCUGCAGGCAGCGCGCUUGCAGGAGGGCGGUGAGGCGUGGAUCUGGCGCGAGUGGGCGUGCACGGCGGCGUCCGUGCGGCGAGGCUGUGCGGGCAGGGGUCCCAACGGCUGAAGGGGUGGCGAGGCGUGCGAGCGCGCAGGCUUGGCGCGGGCCGCGAUUCGGCCAUGAGGGGCGCUGUGGCUGCGGGUGCCGCACGGAUCUGGCGUCGCGUGGGUGCCAGGGUGGUGCUCCUGCCGUUCUGGUGUGGAGCUCGCUACGGGUGCGGAGAGGCCUGGGUUGCGUUGUCGGCGCGGCUCAGGGCCCGUGGCGACUCGGAGGAGCUGAUUCAAGGUUCAGGAUCGUGCCAUUUUAGUCCGUCGUUCAUCCAGUGGGCAGUUUUCCAACCAAUGAGGUCGGAUGUAGACUGGAAAAGAAGUACAAGGUUUUGUGACCUUAUAAGGCAUCUACCGGCGAGCCUAUAUAUCUUUUCAUAUUCAUAUAAAGCACAACGCCCAUAUUGCUGAUGAGCUUGGAAGCACUGCACCUUUUGUGUGCUCGCUUUGAUAUAACUAGCUUUCAAGCUUCCAUGUAACACUGGCAAAAUCGGUUCCUCUGGACUCAUUACUUGUCAGGGGAAAAUAUAUGUGAUGCCUGUUUCACAUGUUUAGCACAGGCACAAUGAUAUUACCAUGGAGGAUAAUCUCUGUGCCAUCGAUGUCCAUUGCUUAAAAAAAAUGUAAACUACUCCCUCCGUCCCAAAAUAAGUAUCCUUGAUUCAGUACAAAGUUAAUAUAGAGUUGUAGUAAA